GUCGAGCGAUGAAGCACCUUCGGGUGUGAAUUAGCGGCGAACGGGUGAGGAACACGUGAAGAAUCUGCCUUCAACUCUGGGAUAACUCCGGGAAACCGGGGCUAAUACCGGAUAUGAGCCUUGAUCGCAUGAUCGGGGCUGGAAAGUUUUUCGGUUGAAGAUGACUUCGCGGCCUAUCAGCUUGUUGGUGAGGUAAUGGCUCACCAAGGCGACGACGGGUAGCCGGCCUGAGAGGGCGACCGGCCACACUGGGACUGAGACACGGCCCAGACUCCUACGGGAGGCAGCAGUGGGGAAUAUUGGGCAAUGGAGGAAACUCUGACCCAGCGACGCCGCGUGCGGGAUGAAGGCCUUCGGGUUGUAAACCGCUUUCAGUAGGGAAGAAGCGAAAGUGACGGUACCUACAAAAGAAGCACCGGCUAACUAUGUGCCAGCAGCCGCGGUAAUACAUAGGGUGCAAGCGUUGUCCGGAAUUAUUGGGCGUAAAGAGCUCGUAGGUCGUUUAUUACGUCGGAUGUGAAAACCUGAGGCUCAACCUCAGGCCUGCAUUCGAUACGGGCAAACUAGAGUUUGGUAGGGGAGACUGGAAUUCCUGGUGUAGCGGUGGAAUGCGCAGAUAUCAGGAGGAACACCAAUGGCGAAGGCAGGUCUCUGGGCCAAUACUGACACUGAGGAGCGAAAGUCUGGGGAGCGAACAGGAUUAGAUACCCUGGUAGUCCAGACCGUAAACGGUGGGCACUAGUUGUGGGAACCUUCCACGGUUUCUGCGACGCAGCUAACGCAUUAAGUGCCCCGCCUGGGGAGUACGAUCGCAAGAUUAAAACUCAAAGGAAUU
rnacentral:rRNA from 1 species